UACGUAGGGUGCAAGCGUUGUCCGGAAUUACUGGGCGUAAAGAGCUCGUAGGCGGUUUGUCGCGUCGUCUGUGAAAACCAGCAGCUCAACUGUUGGCUUGCAGGCGAUACGGGGCAGACUUGAGUAUUUCAGGGGAGACUGGAAUUCCUGGUGUAGCGGUGAAAUGCGCAGAUAUCAGGAGGAACACCGGUGGCGAAGGCGGGUCUCUGGGAAAUAACUGACGCUGAGGAGCGAAAGCGUGGGUAGCGAACAGG
rnacentral:rRNA from 1 species